UAAUGCAGUCGAGCGGACCGACGGGAGCUUGCUCCCUUAGGUCAGCGGCGGACGGGUGAGUAACACGUGGGUAACCUGCCUGUAAGACUGGGAUAACUCCGGGAAACCGGGGCUAAUACCGGAUGCUUGAUUGAACCGCAUGGUUCAAUCAUAAAAGGUGGCUUUUAGCUACCACUUGCAGAUGGACCCGCGGCGCAUUAGCUAGUUGGUGAGGUAACGGCUCACCAAGGCGACGAUGCGUAGCCGACCUGAGAGGGUGAUCGGCCACACUGGGACUGAGACACGGCCCAGACUCCUAUGGGAGGCAGCAGUAGGGAAUCUUCCGCAAUGGACGAAAGUCUGACGGAGCAACGCCGCGUGAGUGAUGAAGGUUUUCGGAUCGUAAAACUCUGUUGUUAGGGAAGAACAAGUGCCGUUCGAAUAGGGCGGUACCUUGACGGUACCUAACCAGAAAGCCACGGCUAACUACGUGCCAGCAGCCGCGGUAAUACGUAGGUGGCAAGCGUUGUCCGGAAUUAUUGGGCGUAAAGCGCGCGCAGGCGGUUUCUUAAGUCUGAUGUGAAAGCCCCCGGCUCAACCGGGGAGGGUCAUUGGAAACUGGGGAACUUGAGUGCAGAAGAGGAGAGUGGAAUUCCACGUGUAGCGGUGAAAUGCGUAGAGAUGUGGAGGAACACCAGUGGCGAAGGCGACUCUCUGGUCUGUAACUGACGCUGAGGCGCGAAAGCGUGGGGAGCGAACAGGAUUAGAUACCCUGGUAGUCCACGCCGUAAACGAUGAGUGCUAAGUGUUAGAGGGUUUCCGCCCUUUAGUGCUGCAGCAAACGCAUUAAGCACUCCGCCUGGGGAGUACG
rnacentral:rRNA from 1 species